rnacentral:rRNA from 1 species
UGGGGAAUUUUCCGCAAUGGGCGAAAGCCUGACGGAGUGACGCCGCGUGGGGGACGAAGGCCUUCGGGUCGUAAACCCCUGUCAGAGGGAAAGAAGGGUCUCGGCGUGAAUAUCGCCGGGAUCUGACGGUACCUUCAGAGGAAGCCCCGGCCAACUCUGUGCCAGCAGCCGCGGUAAGACAGAGGGGGCAAGCGUUGCUCGGAAUCACUGGGCGUAAAGGGCGCGUAGGCGGGAUGGCAAGUCAGUCGUGAAAUCCCUGGGCUCAACUCAGGGGGGUCGGCUGAUACUGCCGUUCUUGAGGGAUGCAGAGGAGACUGGAAUUCCCGGUGUAGCGGUGAAAUGUGUAGAGAUCGGGAGGAACACCGGUGGCGAAGGCGGGUCUCUGGGCAUUCCCUGACGCUGAGGCGCGAAAGCGUGGGGAGCAAACGGGAUUAGAUACCCCGGUAGUCCACGCGGUAAACGAUGACGACUAGGUGUGGGGGGGUUAAGUCCCUUCCGUGCCGCAGCUAACGCAUUAAGUCGUCCGCCUGGGGAGUACGGCCGCAAGGUUGC